UAACGGCAAGAAUUUCAACCGGGAGCGUUUGUUGGUUGGCCACUAUGUGAAAUGGUGCUAUUUUCAGAUUCUCUAUGAAGAAUUUAUCCCUUUUAUCCCUACCAUUUUAGAAGCUAUGGCCCAGAGUGGUGCACAUACAUGUACGGUAUGUAGGUAGGUUACAUCAGUUACAAUACAAUGUAUGCACAUAAAUAUAAGCGAAGCAAAUCAUUCCGCAUUCGUAGCUUUCAUACCAUAGAUAUGUAUAUCCAAUGAUCUGUAUUACAGUAAUAAGACCUACUCCUGCAUACUUUUCUUACUCCCUAAGCUGGCGCGCAUAUCCCCACCAUUUUACUGCGCUUCCAAUCCGCAGUGGAUCCUGUCUCAGCAGUGAAUCGUCAACCUAUUAGAGUAAAGAAAAUUUCUGCAUAGAAUUUCGCAGAAAUAGAAAGCUUUAGGGCAAGUCUAGCCCAUUAGCUGAAAAAUUUUGUAUCAAAUUGCAUAUAUGUAAAACAGAUGCAUCUGUAUGUGUGUGUUCUAUGCUGCAUGUAUGUAUGAAGAUAUAUGCGUACCUACAUACAUACAUACAUACAUACAUAGAAUAAAAUGAUGACAGUCAGCUGUAGUCGUUGUCAGCCCAGUUUUAUACACAAUUUGAACCAAAUCGAAAAGCUAUAGUUACACACUAUUCAAGUAUCAAAUUCAAGAUUACUUGAUAACAAUACUACGCUAAUAUCAAUCGUUUUAAGGAGA